rnacentral:rRNA from 1 species
CCCUUGAGGCGUGGCUUCCGGAGCUAACGCGUUAAGUCGACCGCCUGGGGAGUACGGCCGCAAGGUUAAAACUCAAAUGAAUUGACGGGGGCCCGCACAAGCGGUGGAGCAUGUGGUUUAAUUCGAUGCAACGCGAAGAACCUUACCUACUCUUGACAUCCAGAGAACUUAGCAGAGAUGCUUUGGUGCCUUCGGGAACUCUGAGACAGGUGCUGCAUGGCUGUCGUCAGCUCGUGUUGUGAAAUGUUGGGUUAAGUCCCGCAACGAGCGCAACCCUUAUCCUUUGUUGCCAGCGAUUCGGUCGGGAACUCAAAGGGGACUGCCAGUGAUAAACUGGAGGAAGGUGGGGAUGACGUCAAGUCAUCAUGGCCCUUACGAGUAGGGCUACACACGUGCUACAAUGGCAUAUACAAAGAGAAGCGACCUCGCGAGAGCAAGCGGACCUCAUAAAGUAUGUCGUAGUCCGGAUUGGAGUCUGCAACUCGACUCCAUGAAGUCGGAAUCGCUAGUAAUCGUGGAUCAGAAUGCCACGGUGAAUACGUUCCCGGGCCUUGUACACACCGCCCGUCACACCAUGGGAGUGGGUUGCAAAAGAAGUAGGUAGCUUAACCUUCGGGAGGGCGCUUACCACUUUGUGAUUCAUGACUGGGGUGAAGUCGUAACAAGGUAACCGUAGGGGAACCUGC